UGGGGAAUAUUGCACAAUGGGGGAAACCCUGAUGCAGCGACGCCGCGUGAGCGAAGAAGUAUUUCGGUAUGUAAAGCUCUAUCAGCAGGAAAGAAAAUGACGGUACCUGACUAAGAAGCUCCGGCUAAAUACGUGCCAGCAGCCGCGGUAAUACGUAUGGAGCAAGCGUUAUCCGGAUUUACUGGGUGUAAAGGGAGCGUAGGCGGCUUGGCAAGUCUGAUGUGAAAGGUUGGGGCUCAACCCCAGGACUGCAUUGGAAACUGUUAAGCUGGAGUGUCGGAGAGGCAAGCGGAAUUCCUAGUGUAGCGGUGAAAUGCGUAGAUAUUAGGAGGAACACCAGUGGCGAAGGCGGCUUGCUGGACGAUAACUGACGCUGAGGCUCGAAAGCGUGGGGAGCAAACAGG
rnacentral:rRNA from 1 species